rnacentral:rRNA from 1 species
AGAUCAAGGAGCUAAAGCUCGUAGCUGGAUUCAUAGCUACCAUUCCGAUUGUCGCAAGAUGAGAGGAUGGUUUGCUAUUCAGCCUGUUAACUUUGGGGGGUAUUAACUUAUUUUCUAAAGGGCUCAGGCAUUUUACUGUGAGAAAAUUAGAGUGUUUCAGGCAGGCAAGGCCGGAAUAUAUUAGCAUGGAAUAAUGGAUGAGGGCUUUAAAUCCAUGGUUGGAUGGAGAGAAAGUCACUAUUAAUAGGAACAGUUGGGGGCAUUAGUAUUUAAUUAUCAGAGGGAAUUCUGGAUUGUAAAGAUAACUAUGCGAAGCAUUU